AUCAGCGGCGGACGGGUGAGUAACACGUGGGUAACCUGCCUGUAAGACUGGGAUAACUCCGGGAAACCGGGGCUAAUACCGGAUAACACCUACCCCCGCAUGGGGGAAGGUUGAAAGGUGGCUUCGGCUAUCACUUACAGAUGGACCCGCGGCGCAUUAGCUAGUUGGUGAGGUAACGGCUCACCAAGGCGACGAUGCGUAGCCGACCUGAGAGGGUGAUCGGCCACACUGGGACUGAGACACGGCCCAGACUCCUACGGGAGGCAGCAGUAGGGAAUCUUCCGCAAUGGACGAAAGUCUGACGGAGCAACGCCGCGUGAGUGAAGAAGGUUUUCGGAUCGUAAAACUCUGUUGUUAGGGAAGAACAAGUGCCGUUCGAAUAGGGCGGCACCUUGACGGUACCUAACCAGAAAGCCACGGCUAACUACGUGCCAGCAGCCGCGGUAAUACGUAGGUGGCAAGCGUUGUCCGGAAUUAUUGGGCGUAAAGCGCGCGCAGGUGGUUUCUUAAGUCUGAUGUGAAAGCCCACGGCUCAACCGUGGAGGGUCAUUGGAAACUGGGGAACUUGAGUGCAGAAGAGGAAAGUGGAAUUCCAAGUGUA
rnacentral:rRNA from 1 species